AAGACUAUAGACCUGCGGAGUACCUGCGGAGGGAUCAUUACCGAGUCCCCUGCUCAGCAGGAUCUCCCACCCUUGUUUAUCUGCUGUUUCUUCGGCGAGACGCUGAAAGGCCACUGGAGUUUCUAGUGAGCUCUCGCCGGAGUCUUCAAACUCUUCAAUCUUGAAGUCAGAGACAUUUGCGAAUCUUAAAAACUUUCAACAACGGAUCUCU
rnacentral:misc_RNA from 1 species